UACGUAGGUGGCAAGCGUUAUCCGGAUUCACUGGGCGUAAAGAGCGCGUAGGUGGUCCUUCAAGUCAGAUGUUAAAUCUCCCGGCUUAACUGGGAGUGGUCAUUUGAUACUGCUGGACUCGAGGGUGGUAGAGGGAGGUGGAAUUCCCGGUGUAGUGGUGAAAUGCGUAGAUAUCGGGAGGAACACCAGUGGCGAAAGCGGCCUCCUAGGCCAUUCCUGACACUGAGGCGCGAAAGCGUGGGGAGCGAACAGG
rnacentral:rRNA from 1 species